CUUGAAUGGAAUUUCAUCGUUUCGGCUCUUUCGCGAAAGGGGUUGCACGGUCAUUUCAUAAAUUUGGUGUAUGCUUGCAUCUCUUCCCCAAGGUUCUCAGUCAUUAUUAAUGGCCAGCCUUUUGCAAAUUUUCGUAGCAAUAGAGGUUUAAGACAAGGUUGUCCCUUAUCGCCUUAUCUGUUUGUUCUUGCUAUUAAUGAGCUUUCUUUAAGCCUGCAUGAUGCUAUGAUACAAAAUCAACUGUCUGGCAUUUCUCUUGGUCCAAACUGUCCACCUAUUCAUUCAAUGCUUUUUGCUGAUGACUUGUUAGUUUGUGGUAAUGCCACAGUUCAGGAAGCUACCCAAAUGGCUCAUCUCAUCAACCACUUCUGU
rnacentral:rRNA from 1 species